rnacentral:rRNA from 3 species
UACGUAGGGGGCAAGCGUUAUCCGGAAUUACUGGGUGUAAAGGGAGCGUAGGCGGCAUGGUAAGCCAGAUGUGAAAGCCUUGGGCUUAACCCGAGGAUUGCAUUUGGAACUAUCAAGCUAGAGUACAGGAGAGGAAAGCGGAAUUCCUAGUGUAGCGGUGAAAUGCGUAGAUAUUAGGAAGAACACCAGUGGCGAAGGCGGCUUUCUGGACUGAAACUGACGCUGAGGCUCGAAAGCGUGGGGAGCAAACAGG